GCUCCCAUGGUGUAGUCCGGCCAAUCAUUCUGGCCUUUCGCGGGUUAGAAAAGCAAGUGGUUCUAUAAUCCGAAGUUAGCCAGCUACUCGGGUUCGAAUCCCGAUGGGAGCA
rnacentral:tRNA from 1 species